rnacentral:rRNA from 1 species
UUUUAUGGAGAGUUUGAUCCUGGCUCAGGAUGAACGCUGGCGGCGUGCCUAAUACAUGCAAGUCGAGCGAACGGACGAGAAGCUUGCUUCUCUGAUGUUAGCGGCGGACGGGGGAGUAACACGUGGAUAACCUACCUAUAAGACUGGGAUAACUUCGGGAAACCGGAGCUAAUACCGGAUAAUAUUUUGAACCGCAUGGUUCAAAAGUGAAAGACGGUCUUGCUGUCACUUAUAGAUGGAUCCGCGCUGCAUUAGCUAGUUGGUAAGGUAACGGCUUACCAAGGCAACGAUGCAUAGCCGACCUGAGAGGGUGAUCGGCCACACUGGAACUGAGACACGGUCCAGACUCCUACGGGAGGCAGCAGUAGGGAAUCUUCCGCAAUGGGCGAAAGCCUGACGGAGCAACGCCGCGUGAGUGAUGAAGGUCUUCGGAUCGUAAAACUCUGUUAUUAGGGAAGAACAUAUGUGUAAGUAACUGUGCACAUCUUGACGGUACCUAAUCAGAAAGCCACGGCUAACUACGUGCCAGCAGCCGCGGUAAUACGUAGGUGGCAAGCGUUAUCCGGAAUUAUUGGGCGUAAAGCGCGCGUAGGCGGUUUUUUAAGUCUGAUGUGAAAGCCCACGGCUCAACCGUGGAGGGUCAUUGGAAACUGGAAAACUUGAGUGCAGAAGAGGAAAGUGGAAUUCCAUGUGUAGCGGUGAAAUGCGCAGAGAUAUGGAGGAACACCAGUGGCGAAGGCGACUUUCUGGUCUGUAACUGACGCUGAUGUGCGAAAGCGUGGGGAUCAAACAGGAUUAGAUACCCUGGUAGUCCACGCCGUAAACGAUGAGUGCUAAGUGUUAGGGGGUUUCCGCCCCUUAGUGCUGCAGCUAACGCAUUAAGCACUCCGCCUGGGGAGUACGACCGCAAGGUUGAAACUCAAAGGAAUUGACGGGGACCCGCACAAGCGGUGGAGCAUGUGGUUUAAUUCGAAGCAACGCGAAGAACCUUACCAAAUCUUGACAUCCUUUGACAACUCUAGAGAUAGAGCCUUCCCCUUCGGGGGACAAAGUGACAGGUGGUGCAUGGUUGUCGUCAGCUCGUGUCGUGAGAUGUUGGGUUAAGUCCCGCAACGAGCGCAACCCUUAAGCUUAGUUGCCAUCAUUAAGUUGGGCACUCUAAG